rnacentral:tRNA from 1 species
CGGGAUCGUAGGAGAUGUCGCCGCUGCCGUCGGCCUUCUCGAGUCCGCCGAUGCGGUGUUCGAGCCCCCGCGUUCCCGG